GACGAACGCUGGCGGCGUGCUUAACACAUGCAAGUCGAACGGAAAGGCCCUGCUUUUGUGGGGUGCACGAGUGGCGAACGGGUGAGUAACACGUGAGUAACCUGCCCUUGACUUUGGGAUAACUUCAGGAAACUGGGGCUAAUGCCGGAUAGGAGCUCCUGCUGCAUGGUGGGGGGUGGAAAGUUUCGGCGGUUGGGGAUGGACUCGCGGCUUAUCAGCUUGUUGGUUGAGUAGUGGCUUACCAAGGCUUUGACGGGUAGCCGGCCUGAGAGGGUGACCGGCCACAUUGGGACUGAGGUACGGCCCAGUCUCCUACGGGAGGCAGCAGUGGGGGAUAUUGCACAAUGGGCGGAAGCCUGAUGCAGCAACUCCGCGUGCGGGAUGACGGCCUUCGGGUUGUAAUCCGCUUUCGCCUGUGACGAAGCGUGAGUGACGGUAAUGGGUAAAGAAGCACCGGCUAACUACGUG
rnacentral:rRNA from 1 species